UACGGAGGGGGCUAGCGUUGUUUGGAAUUACUGGGCGUAAAGCGCACGUAGGCGGCUUUGUAAGUUAGAGGUGAAAGCCCAGGGCUCAACCCUGGAAUUGCCUUUAAGACUGCAUCGCUUGAACAUCGGAGAGGUAAGUGGAAUUCCGAGUGUAGAGGUGAAAUUCGUAGAUAUUCGGAAGAACACCAGUGGCGAAGGCGACUUACUGGACGAUUGUUGACGCUGAGGUGCGAAAGCGUGGGGAGCAAACAGG
rnacentral:rRNA from 1 species